AGUUAGUUUUACAUUAGUAGAUAUAGAUGUAUUCAAAUUUCCUUCAUCUUCCUAAUAUCAAUUCCUUUUUUAAGGUUUUUAAACAAACAAAAAGUAAAUAUAUAUUAAAACAUAUGAAUUAUAUGCCUCUACGGUUAGGUCAAUUAACCGGCAGUUUUAAAAAACUGGUCCUGAACCAAAAACAGAAAAAUUCCUGAAGCUUGUACAGAUACCAUGCCAAGCUAGGCCAGUUAACUGAACUGAUCAUUUUGGUUUUUCAGUUUUUUCCAUCUUGUUUCUCCACCCCUAGUACCACGUGUAUCCUUCUACUGAUGACAUGUAUCCACAUCUGUCACUUUUUGAGCUGUUAUGGAGUUUUUUUAAUAGUUCAAAAACUUGAUUGAGAAUCAUUAUAAGUGGGAGGACUUUUAAGGUAUUUAAACUUUUUUAAAAAAAGAAUUGUUUAAUUUGGAAAUUUCCUGAAGCAGACUAAGGUAGAAAUGUUGAGUGCUUAUGGGAAGUUAAAAAAAUAACACAAAUUUUGUAUUUAAGGUUCUAUUUAGAGAAAGUAAUAAUAUUUGCUAUUUACCAAAAUAUGGUGAUGAUGUGAGUUGGAUUUGUUGUUAGUUUAUUUAAGGUUUUAUUACAACAUGGAUAUUUUUUGCGCUUGGCAGACGAUUCCUAUGCAUUGUCUUCGGUGUCAGGUCAAAAG
rnacentral:misc_RNA from 1 species